CAGGGAGACAACAAAAUGUUUAAUAUUAUUAUUUUGUCACCUUAGGUCGAUCGGUAUCUCACGUUUUUAAUUUAUUAAAAAUUUCAUUUCCUAAGUUUUUCUAGGUCACACCCAUUAUUUUUUCCUGGGCCAUUAGCUCAGGUGGUUAGAGCGCACCCCUGAUAAGGGUGAGGUCCCUGGUUCAAGUCCAGGAUGGCCCAUAUCUCUAUGUUGGGGGUAUAGCUCAGUUGGUAGAGCGCCUGCUUUGCAAGCAGGAUGUCAGCGGUUCGAGUCCGCUUACCUCCACUGAUUACCACCUCUUCCAUAACCGGUAGAAAGGAAAUGUUUUGAGUUGUGAUCAACUUCUGAAAGAAUCUAGCUUCCUAAUGAAAUCAUUAAGAUGCUGGACUCAUUGAAUUAAUUUCAUUGUUUUCAGAGAACCUUGACAACUGCAUAGAUUAUUUUUAAAGACAAUAAGCAUCUUUAAUGAUGCAGAUUUAUUAUUUGUGCGAAUGCAUUAAUAACAAUUCUAUUAAGCUGAUGCUUCAAUUUUUGAAGUUAUU
rnacentral:tRNA from 1 species